rnacentral:misc_RNA from 1 species
GGAAGGAUCAUUAACGAGCAUACAAAAUGAUUGUGACUAUUUAGAGAUUAUUCCUCGAUCUAAACAGUCUGUAUCUCUAGUAGAUCUGUACUGUGGAGUAACUUCUUGUGAGUCUGAACGCGAUUCCGGGUGCUUAAGCAGGAGUGAGUCCUUUGCGAUCGGGUUUUCGCGUCCUAUCGCACAGUUGGUCCACACACUGACACGCUCACAUUCAGUUGAGUAGGCUUAAAGAGACGUCAGUAUUAGGCGCCGCCCGGUUUUACAUUCUUUUAACCAUGAAAAUAUUGAAACCGAUUAUAUAUAUGAAUCGGUAGAAAACGUACUAUUCUAAGCGGUGAAUCACUAGGCUCGUGGGUCGAUGAAAAACGCAGCCAGCUGCGAGACUUAAUGCGAAUUGCAGACACAUUGAGCAUCGACAUUUUGAACGCAUAUUGCGGCGUUGGGUUUCAUUCCUAACGCUACAACUGUCUGAGGGUUGUUUGAGCGAAGCUUAAAACCAUCUUUUUGAAGAUAUAUGGUUGAUAUUGGUGAUUGAAUGAAACAUCUUUCACUGGAAUAGACUUGUAGUUGCCUCGUAUUCAAUUGGCAAAUACAUUUCAAUCGGUGUAAAAACCCAUAAAAGCAAUUUCUUGGGAUUUUUGAACACUUUUCUUAAUCAGCUCAACCUCAGAUCAGUUGUGAUUACCCGCCGAAUUAAAGCAUUUCAUUAGGCGGAGGAAAAGAAACGAACAAGGAUUCCCCUAGUAACGGCGAGUGAAUGGGGAAGAGCCCAGCACUGAAUCCCUCGGCGUGACUGCUGUUGGGAAAUGUAGUGUGAAGGAGGGUCGAUCCGGGACGGAAUCAUUUAUACAAGUCCCCUUGACAGGGGCCACAGCCCAAAGAAGGUGCAAGGCCAGUGUUAUAAAUGUCCGUAUCGGUAUGACUUUCUAUGGAGUCGGGUUGCUUGAGAGUGCAGCCCAAAGCGGGUGGUAAACCUCACCUAAGGCUAAAUAAAACCACGAGACCGAUAGCAAACAAGUACUGUGAAGGAAAGUUGCAAAGAACUUUGAAGAGAGAGUUCAAGAGGGCGUGAAACCGCUCAGAAGCAAACGGAUGGAGCUGAAGAGAAUUGAGCAGGAUUUCAACCGCAUUCGUGUUUCCCGAUUACCGGCAUUUCGAUCUUCUAACGACGGAUAGUUGGUGUCGUGGAGCUCGGGCGGAUCACUUCCUGCUCAUGUUCAUCGAGGCUUGUGAUGACGCUGAAAGUAGGGUUACAAUUGCCGACCAUAACCUGGUGUUGUGGUGUCCCGUUGCGACUUGAAAUCGAGACGUUGUUACUUGUUAAUCACGGAUGCUUACCAUAAGGCUCGGUAGCGGGACUGUGUAGAUGAUUGAAAUGCUGUUUUGUACUUGUAGAACUCGGCGACGCUUGUUUGCACAGUAUAUACUCGUAAUCCGAAUAGCAUUCAACCUCGGUGUCCAUUCAGCCACCCAUCCGACCCGUCUUGAAACACGGACCAAGGAGUCUAACAUGUGCGCGAGUUGUUGGGCAGUAAAAACCCAAAAGCGUAAUGAAGGUGAAGGUCGGCUCGAUUCGACUGAAAUGGUAUCCUUAAUUUCGAUUAAGGAGCACCAUAGUCCCGUCUCGUCUGCUCGCCAGAGAGGCGGAGACAGAGCGUACACGUUGGGACCCGAAAGAUGGUGAACUAUGCCUGAGCAGGAGGAAGCCAGAGGAAACUCUGGUGGAAGUCCAUAGCGGUUCUGACGUGCAAAUCGAUCGUUAGACUUGGGUAUAGGGGCGAAAGACUAAUCGAACCAUCUAGUAGCUGGUUCCCUC